AUUGAACGCUGGCGGCAGGCCUAACACAUGCAAGUCGAACGGUAGCACAGAGAGCUUGCUCUCGGGUGACGAGUGGCGGACGGGUGAGUAAUGUCUGGGAAACUGCCCGAUGGAGGGGGAUAACUACUGGAAACGGUAGCUAAUACCGCAUAACGUCGCAAGACCAAAGUGGGGGACCUUCGGGCCUCACACCAUCGGAUGUGCCCAGAUGGGAUUAGCUAGUAGGUGGGGUAAUGGCUCACCUAGGCGACGAUCCCUAGCUGGUCUGAGAGGAUGACCAGCCAAACUGGAACUGAGACACGGUCCAGACUCCUACGGGAGGCAGCCGUGGGGAAUAUUGCACAAUGGGCGCAAGCCUGAUGCAGCCAUGCCGCGUGUAUGAAGAAGGCCUUCGGGUUGUAAAGUACUUUCAGCGGGGAGGAAGGCGGUGGAGUUAAUAACUUCACCGAUUGACGUUACCCGCAGAAGAAGCACCGGCUAACUCCGUGCCAGCCGCCGCGGUAA
rnacentral:rRNA from 1 species